UUGCAGAGAACCCAAAUUCAGUUCCUGGUA
rnacentral:piRNA from 1 species